GAUGAACGCUGGCGGCGUGCCUAAUACAUGCAAGUCGAGCGAACGGACGAGAAGCUUGCUUCUCUGAUGUUAGCGGCGGACGGGUGAGUAACACGUGGAUAACCUACCUAUAAGACUGGGAUAACUUCGGGAAACCGGAGCUAAUACCGGAUAAUAUUUUGAACCGCAUGGUUCAAAAGUGAAAGACGGUCUUGCUGUCACUUAUAGAUGGAUCCGCGCUGCAUUAGCUAGUUGGUAAGGUAACGGCUUACCAAGGCAACGAUGCAUAGCCGACCUGAGAGGGUGAUCGGCCACACUGGAACUGAGACACGGUCCAGACUCCUACGGGAGGCAGCAGUAGGGAAUCUUCCGCAAUGGGCGAAAGCCGGACGGAGCAACGCCGCGUGAGUGAUGAAGGUCUUCGGAUCGUAAAACUCUGUUAUUAGGGAAGAACAUAUGUGUAAGUAACUGUGCACAUCUUGACGGUACCUAAUCAGAAAGCCACGGCUAACUACGUG
rnacentral:rRNA from 1 species